rnacentral:rRNA from 1 species
AUGCUGCACGUCGACCCCGUCGCCCCUGUUGAAGCAGUUCUGCCUCUGGGGAACGACAUCGUCGUCCUUGACAACGACAAGCACGAGGCCGCGUCGCUGCCAUCUCCGACCCCCGCGGUUGUUGAGAUCGCCGCAAGUCACGCGCUCGCCUUCGUGCCGCCGAGAUACCCGCAUAUGCUGUCCCCCAUGGGCUGCGGCUCCCCUGCCACUCCUCCGUCUUUGCCGUGCAUGAGAUUCAGCCGUCGCGUCUUGGAGCUCGGUGUCCCGCUGGCGAGCCCGCCGUCGAGCAGCCGCUCCGGCUGCGUUAGCACAUGGAGCCCGCCGGCGCUCGGGCUCGCGAACGGCGCCUCCAACGGCGUCGCGCCCGACACCCUCCUUCUUGGAGAUUCUUCCGACGAGGACGAGCGCGGCGGGAGCUCAUCUCGCCGCCGGUGA